ensembl:lncRNA
GGGGUUGUUAUCACUACUGUUAGUGUCCACAGCACAUUAUAUAGAGUCAGUCUGGUGAUACAGGACAUUCCAUACAUAGUGCACUAUAGCCCCAUAAGCCCUUGUUAAAAGUAGUGCACUAAAUUUGGUAGUAGGGUGCCAUUUGGGAUUCAUGUAAGACUGCCAGGAUGGUCUACAUAUCGCUGUCAUAAGAAUGACUUCCAGUGUCAGGUUAUUGAUUUCCCCACCAAUCACUUCAUGUUUUCGGACAGAUAUGCUGCUACAGGUGUUGCGACGUACUGAUGUUUCAACAGCACUAGGAAGUCGUUAUAGCUGAGCUAUGACGUCGUAUAAGAGCACUAAGAAGGUGUUAUAGCAAUGUUAUGAUGUCUUAUAACAGCAUUAGUAAGGCGUCGAUGUCAGGUUUUACUGUAUCUGUCCAUGACUGUACCCAAGCCACUAGCCAAAUGUAUUGGCAGUACGUCUGUCUAUUUCCACGUCAUGUUGGUGUUGACAGGACGUAGUAAAGCCAAAGUCCUCCACAGAUUGUAGGCCUAGAGGCCAAGCAAAUGCUCCUAUUGUAGUGCAGAAAUGAAAAAAGACACUGAUUGGGUCAGAAGACUGAAUUAUUUGUACAGUGUUGGCAAUUCCGUUGACUGACAGAGGAUAGUUUAUUCUAGAUUAUAAUCUAGAAUUCAAAGUCAUAUGUUCUGUUUUGGGGCAUCAAUUUAGAAUCCUGGCCAACUUUGUACUAGAGGAAUUCAUCAAAAUAUGGACACCAUGUUUGUCUGUUUUGUCUGACUUUUAGUAGCAAAGCUUUUGCUGAGCUACCAUCUUUUUUAGAUCACUGUGAACAUUUAUCAGUUCCUGACCUGGUAAACAACAGAAUGUUAAAUGGUCUCAUCACUUAUGAUUCUAGUUCUAAAAGAACUAGCCUUCUAAAUGUUCUCUAACAGUGAAGUUGUCCAACUUCCAGAAUCAUUCAAAAGAAUGUGAAGUGAUUAAUCCCUUAAAGGUUCUUGCUGCUUUAUUUAACGGGGGUCGGGGGGGGUUCUGAUGAUCUUUGUGGAUGUACUGAAGAACAUGUCUGCUGGUGAAGGAAACCUUUAUUUUCCUUGUUAGAAAAUGUUUGUAAUUGUACUGCAAAUUGCAUUAAUUAACGUUAUUGUGUUUUUUUUAAUGUUACCCUCACCCUUCAUUAAUUGCAAAACGAUGACCAGGAACCAGUUGUUGCCCAGUACUUGCUUCCCACUGAGCUGAGGGUUAGUGUGGCAUGAGAUCAAGAGGAAAUUAGGUUCAAACAUCAUGCCAAAUCAAAGCUUCUGUCUACAUGUCGCUUCUGCAUGAGUUAGAGUUUGUUCACUGCUUGCGUUGCGGCUCCUAAAGACGCCAGUGCUCUGAACAGGCCCCGUGCUGUUGGCCUAGAUAGACCACCGCUCUCAGGCUAUUUUAAACAAGACAGGAAGUGAGGACGGGGCUCCAAAAUGGCACCCUAUUUCAAAAGGGGUGCACUGCAUAGGACGUAGGCUGCCAUUUAUGACGCAGUGUCUCACCGGAUUUUCUUUCCAUGUCCUCAGUUGUUCUGACCUGCUGUAAGACCCACGGACGAUUGCCUGGAAGCCAAAAUGAAUGUUUAUUUUUUAUUUUUUAUUUUUUUACCACUUCCGUCUCAGUUAGUGAUGCUCGGUUGGGAUUGCAAACUGAGCUAUGGACUCUUUGUUUCUUUUAAAACUCUUGUGAUUUUAAUUCUGUGAAAAGCAUGGCUAAUUUAUUAACUAAUCAGUCAUUCCUCGGUGGCUGAAUGGUUUUGACCCAUUGGCAGUUAUCCAAGUGCAAUCUGCUACAGAAAUGUCUCUGUCCUCAGUCUAGUGCGUUUCUGUUUUGUUAAAGUUUAUUUUUGAUGACCUUAAAAGAGAGAUAAUAACUUAAUGACCUUUUUGUUGCUUUGAAAAGUGUUGUCACCUGAAUCAAAAUCACAUUGCACUGACAUUGCAGAUGUACAUAACGUUUUUGUUUUGUAAAUAAGUCCAUAAAUCGGAUGUCUUUGAAUAUGAACUGUAAAGGAAAAAAUAAAAUGACAUGUACUGUAGCUGUAUACGGAGUGGCAACAUCGCUGAUCUGUAACAGAAAUCCACAUAUUAAAU